rnacentral:rRNA from 1 species
AUUGAACGCUGGCGGCAUGCCUUACACAUGCAAGUCGAACGGCAGCACGGGAGCAAUCCUGGUGGCGAGUGGCGAACAGGUGAGUAAUAUAUCGGAACGUGCCCAGUCGUGGGGGAUAACGCAGCGAAAGCUGUGCUAAUACCGCAUACGAUCUAAGGAUGAAAGCGGGGGAUCGCAAGACCUCGCGCGAUUGGAGCGGCCGAUAUCAGAUUAGCUAGUUGGUGGGGUAAAGGCCCACCAAGGCGACGAUCUGUAGCUGGUCUGAGAGGACGACCAGCCACACUGGAACUGAGACACGGUCCAGACUCCUACGGGAGGCAGCAGUGGGGAAUUUUGGACAAUGGGCGCAAGCCUGAUCCAGCAAUGCCGCGUGCAGGAUGAAGGCCUUCGGGUUGUAAACUGCUUUUGUACGGAACGAAACGGCCCUCUCUAAUACAGGGGGCUAAUGACGGUACCGUAAGAAUAAGCACCGGCUAACUCUGUGCCAGCCGCCGCAGUAAUAC